GGCGGGGUAGAGCAGCGGCCUGGGUCUCGGAGGGCGGUGGCCCGGGCUCUGCUUUCUCCUGUGGGGCCUCAGCUUCGGCCUUUGUGGGGCGGGGGUGUCCCGGCUGCUAGGGCAGGAUGGGGGCGGGCCGCUGACGUCCGCGAGGGCGGAGCGCACUUGUUUUCGCAGCCCCGGGCGUUUAGCUGGAGGUACCGGGAGACCGCGGCGUUGGGCCUGGCGGGGUCACUUGUGGGUACGCGGUGCGCUCGGCGGAAGAUGGGACGGAACUCCGGGACAGCGCCGCGCCGGCACACACGCGCCGGCCUCGGUUCGCUUUUUGUUUUCUCCUCGCGGUCCCCGGUCCUGCAGCGACGGGAAACGCCGAGUUUCGCUUUUCCUGGGAUCCGAGGCGGCCGGUGCUGCGAAACGCGUGAGCUGCGUGGCGCCGGCGGUGACUGCGAGGGCUGUGGAUGGUUGAGUGGGCAGUGUUCUGCCGUGGGUGUGGAAGAUCGACCGGAACCAGGUCCUGAAAUCAAUCCCCAGCAACCACAUGGUGGAUCAGCACCAUCUAUAGUGGGAUCAGAUGCCCUCUGCUGGCCUACAGGCAUAGAUGCAGAUACUGUGUCUGGAUCUGUCUGUAAGCCACAUGUGUGCUUGGAGCCACUGGAGUCCAGAAGAAGACAUCAGAUCUCCUGAAACUGGGCUUAGAAAAGUUUGUGAGCAGCCGUGCAUGCUGGGGAUCUCGCCAGGUUCUGAAGUCUGAGCUCAUACACUGAGCAAUCUCUGCAGCUGUUUUCAAACAGAAGAGCUGGGGUGGCGGUGGUAGCGGCGGUGCACACCUUUAAGGCCAGCACUCAGGGAGGCAGGCAGGCAGAUCUCUGAGUCUGAAGCCAGCCCGGUCUGCACAGAGCUCUAGGGCAGCCGGGGCUGCGUGGUGAGACCCCCUCCAAGGAAAAACUCUUAGCGCUUGCCUAUCUAAAAUUAGAAUGUGAACACCAAAUGAAGUGCUUUAUUUUUCUUUUAACCAGGGAUCCCCAGGCUAGCAGGUUGCCCUGAGUUCGGAGUGUGUGUUGAAUAGUUUUGCUGUGUAGCCAAACCUGACCUCAAACUCAAAAUCUCUUUGAGUUGGACUCCUGAAUGCUGAAAUUACAGACCUAUGCUACCACACCCUGUGCAAAUAGGUUUUUUAAUUUAACUUUUUGUACUUACAUGAGUGAGCUUAAGUGUCAUGGUAGGGGCGGGGAGCUGAGGCAAUCCUGCUGGUUCUCUCUGCCCACAGUGGGAGUUCCAAGGACAGUACUCGGGACACCAGGCUUAGGAACAGACAUAAUGCCGAGACCACCUUGUAGGCCCAGAACUUUUGUUUUUUGUUUUGUUUUGUUUUCAUUUAAGUAGUACCAUUGGUUAAAUCGCAUAUCAGGCAUUAAAUUCACAUCAUCCCAACCAGGUUCCUUAGGCUCGGCCUAGCAGCACAUGCCUCCAGUUUCAGCAUUUGAGAGGCCGAGCCAAGGCUGCAUUGUGAGACCCUGCUUAAAAUAAAGAGGAAGAAGGCAACAGCAGCUUGUGCGGAUAUUUAUAACCCCCCCCCCCCAGGACUGGCGUUUGAUCCUAGGGCCCUUGACGCUAAGCAGCCAUUCUACCCACAGAACUCCAUAGCUCCAGCACUGCUGCAUUUUCCUUUAGCAGAGGUGAACUAGAAUUUUCAUGAAAUUCAAAUCUAUAAACUCCCACUUAUCUGGCAGUUUAACAUCUCAGUCUCCAAAGGGGAGCCUGGGCCACCCCAGGGUUCUGGAUAGCCCACGAGGUGAGGUCUCAGUCACCUUAGUACAGCCAAUGUCCUCACACUCAGUCGCACUGCACUGUGUGUGUGGAUGACCUUGUCACACUGUGUGAGGUGAAUGCCUCACAUUCCCGUGCUGAGCCCUUGAGACUCCUGGGGAGAAGGCAUGCCUGGGUUGGUAGGCUGCUCAGAAUUCCACACACAGCUGUGAGGGCUGUGUCUGGGCCUUUCUAGCCUCACCACAUUCCUGGCCUCCCAUGCCUGCCUGUUAGGUUGAUGGCGUCAUGAUGAGCUAAAAAAGAUUUACAUUUACUUACUAUUCCAUUCGUAUGAUAGUUUCACCUGUGUGUGUGUGUGUGUGUGUGUGUGUGUGUGUUUGUGCGCGCAACCCCCCCCCCCCCACCUGCCUGGGUAUCCUUGGAGGUCAGGAGAGGAUAUUUGCUCUUCUGGAUUGGAUUUACAGACAGUUGUGAACUGUCACAUAUAUGGGUCCUCUGCCAAAAGCAAGAGGUGCCCUUAGCUUCUGAGUCAUCCCUCCAGCCCCUAAAAUGUUAAUAAAUCAAAAAACAGACCGAGGCUGGAGAGGUGGGUCAGUGGUUAAGAGCACUCGUUCUCAUUGCAAAGGACCCAGGUUCAAUUCCCAGCUCCCAUGUGGAGGUUCACCAUCUCCUCAGGGACCAGCACCUGUGGGGCCCAGAUACACAUGAAGGUGAAACUCACACAAAAUAAUAAGAAAGUUUUUAAAUAUUUAAAAAUAAGUAAAUAAAAACACCUAAAUACCUUGAGAAAAAUGUUAGCUUGAGCUAGCAGUAAUAGCUAAUGCCUAUAAUCCCAACAACUUGAUCGAGUAGGGAAGAAUACAAGUUCUAGGCUAGCCUGAGCAAUUUAGUAACUGCCUACUGGAAAAAAGCAAAGGGGCAGUGUUGGUAUUCAGCGACAGGUGCUCCCCUAGCCACCUGUAAGGCCUAGAGACCAGGUCCUAGCACUGCAAACUGAAAAAGGAAAUCAGAGGGGUUCCAUGUUUGUUCUUUUGCCAAGGUCUCACUAUGUAGCCCAAGCUGGCCUCUGAACUCAGGGUGUGGGGCUGGAGAGUUGGUUCGCUCAGCAGCUGAUAACACUGGCAGCCCGGACAGAAAAACCCCCGGUUCUGUCUCCUGCACUACUCACCACCCUCUGGUAACUGGUUCUGGGUGUGUGCUGCUCCUGUUCUGAGCUCAGGCAGCGAGCGAGCAUGUGGAGCACAGAAAGACGGGAAGGCAAACACGGAACACGCAUACAUCUGGUGAAAAGUUUAAACAAAGAGCCCAGUACAGUUUAGAUAAUUGUGUAUGUGUAAUAGCAACGCUUAAGUAAAGAACUUAAAUUUUAAUUAAUCUUUAUACGUUGCUGAUGACAGUACAGUUACAUCACUCCCCUUUUCUGUCCUCCAUCCAAACUCCCUAACUCUCAAAUUGAUAGUCUCAUCUUCCUCCGUUAUUAUUGCUAUAUGUGAGUUUAUGUGUUAUGCAAAAAAUAUACAAAUAAAGCCCGCUGAAUCUG